AUGAGAACCAAUCCUACUACUUCUCCUCCCGGGGUUUCCACAAUUGAAGAAAGAAGUAUAGGUUGUAUCGAUCAAAUUAUUGGACCCGUGCUGGAUGUCACUUUUCCCCCAGGCAAGAUAGCUCAAUCCUUUUUUUGCUAA
rnacentral:rRNA from 1 species